AAGUUGUGUAUAUUCAUAUCAUAUCGUUCCUCUUUCUUCCAGAAACUCCUGAAUUGAGAAUUGAGAAUUGAGAAUUGAGAUCCGGUUGAGUGCCAACGCGUUCUCCACCGCCGCGCCGCCCAUAUUACAGUUGACAUUAAGAAAUGCGUUCUCCUGACGUCAAAGAUGCUCCUCCGGCUAAGAAGGCGAAGCUGGAGGAGAUAGCUCCUGACCCCGAAGAUGGAAAGUCUUACUUUGUUAUGUUCAUUAUAGUACAACCAUUUCCUUUACAUAAAUGUUCCUAUCAUGGUUAAUACUGCAUUAUUAAUAGCUCGACUUUUUGAUGUGUUUGCUUGGUUUCAGCGCCUAAGAAGACGAAGCUGAAGGAGAUAGCUCCUGUUCCCGAAGAUG